GGCAUUAUCAUGGAAAUGCCUGCCUGCCUGCCUGGGAUAUGGCAUCAGAUGUUUGGAACUCAUGUAUAUAAUGGUAGUAUUUGACAUCAUUGCAAUUUGUAGUGGGCACUAGUGACAACCACAAUUAUUACCUGUGUGCUACCUUUGAUCCGCUUACCUAUGCUGUACUUGCAGGUAAAUUAGGGGAUAAUCAUUUAUUUAAGAAAAAAAUGCUUAAUGUGCAUAGAUUUGAGCAACAGGUUUAUAAAAAGAACUGCUCCAAAUGGUAAAUGUACAAUGCAGUGGCUGCGUAGCUUUCCUGUCUUGUAAUCGUUUUCUUGGGGGGUUCAGUCUCAGGGCACUCCAAGUGCAAAUUGCAGCAACCUUCUGCUACAGGUCCUGAAGCAAUUCAGGAAUGCCCAGUUAAAAAUGAGGCAUUAAGCACCUACCCCCUACCCUCUGAAUAUGGCUUGUGUGGUGGAGGUAGCACAAUGCAAAAGGCUCUUCCACUGGGUCAGUACUGAAUGGCUAACAGGUUUUCUAAUUUGGAGUCUCGUCAACACACAAACAAUAGUGAUGAAGGCUUUUGUAUAGAUAUUUUAUGUUUCAAAGUUUGUCCAGAGGGAAUUGUGCUGCAUAUCUGUUUCUGUAGAUUCUAUGAUUAGCAACAUCAAUUGGAUGCUAGGCUGAAUAUAGGGAAAAAAUAAAAAUGGCAGAUAGAAAAGGCAUUGUUGUGAAUACAAUGCCCUUAAUCCAUUUUCUGGUUUUGCAUAAUUCACUCAAUCAUGUCAGCUAGGUUAAAGUAUAUUCAUAUGAAUCUCUAAAAAAAACCCACACCUCAGUUUAAGAGUAAGCUGUGCAAAGGCAGCCAAUACAUUUGCAACAGGUCUAGUUAAGUGUGUUGUGGGGUCACAAUUGAUUUGACAGUUGUGCAGAGAACUGAAGAAAUUCAAUUUUUGUCUCCCUCCACCAUGGAAAGGGAAAAUGACAAUAUUGGAUAAUACUUAACAGUGUCUUCAUCAACUUCAAGGACCGCCAACUCUUCUGUAAUAAAUUUGAAUCUGAUUUUAGACCUGAUGAUGCAGUGCUGAUAAUUUCCAACCUGUUUGGUAUCUGACCCUCCCAUACACAAUCACAGUUAGAAAGUCAGUAACUUCAGUGUUGAAGGUCAUUAACGCCUGGUAAUUCAUGGAGUAGAGAGUUCUUCAAAGCCAGGAGAUCCAGAUUAUGGAUCUCAUGGGGCAGGAAAAACAACUCCAUCCAGAGUUGCCUCAAACUAUGAGAUGGACAGGAUACAAAAAAACAAAAAAACAUAUGUUUAAGUAAUACUACUGAAUGCCACUGUGAAUAUUUCUCCUGGCAAGUAGGGCAUCCAAAUAUUGAUAAUUAAACUACGGUACUAUGCCUAAAAUGUGACUUUCAUAAGAAAAAGGGAUCUUUAAUGACUGAGGAGAUUAGCCCAACUAAUUGCAGAAUCUUAAAAUUGAGAUAUAAUAAUUUUUCAUAAUAAAUUACAUCAUAUUUAAAAUGUUUUUGUCACAACUGCAAGAAGCAGAACUGAAGCAGUAUGGAAAUGCAAAAACUAAUGUUGCAAAUUAUAACUGCUGAAGGUAAAAAAUAUGCCUCUUGGAUUUUGCAAACAUUUCCUUUCAAUUCCUUGUUGAAAGAAGGAAUUACCUGCUGUAGGAACAAUGGUGAAGCAGUUUUGACCAUCUCCUUUCCAAAUAUAAGAAAAUGUUUUCCAAUUCUUGCAUUGCUAUCAGUCUAGUGAAAUCCCCAGCAAGAAAUCAGGAAAUAAUCUUCUGCAUGCCUCUUGUUCAAAGGAGGGAUAUUCUGGGGGCAAGGAAGCUCAAGUGAAAAAGCAGCCUUGCCAGCAAGUCUUCUAAAUUGCAAAACACCUGCUUUUUCCUGAGGAAACUAAAACAAUUGAUUUCUAACAAUUAUUAUUAUUUUAUCUUUUCAGUGAUGAAUGACAUCAUUGGGGGCAUCUUCAAUAAAAAUUUUAUGGAUGAGCUGUUUAAGCCACAGGAACUCUAUUCCAGGAAAGCCCUAAGGGCAGUUUUUGAGCGGUUGGUUCAUGCCUCCAUCAUGAGACUAAAUGCCCCCAGUAUGGAUAAGCUUUAUGAUCUAAUGACUAUGGCUUUCAAGUACCAAGUUCUCCUCUGCCCUCGACCCAAGGACCUUCUGCUCAUCACUUUCAACCAUCUGGAUGCAAUUAAGGAUUUUGUCUAUGAAUCACCCAAAAUUCUGAACCAAAUUGAUGUUACCAUGCGCAAGUUCAUUGAUACCUACGUCUUGCUCUCUGCUGGGGAACUUCAGCUCAUCCGCCAAACGCUGCUCAUCUUUUUCCAGGAUAUACAUAUCAGGGUUUCCAUUCUCUUAAAAGAUAAAGUGCAGAAUUCCAAUGGCCAUUUUGUGCUGCCAACCUCAAGUUCAGUUCCUUGGGGGACAGAGAUCCCUGGACUCAUCAGACUUUAUAACAAUAAAGAAGAUGAAAUUCAGAGGAUCGAGUUCAGCAGUGGAGGAAAUUAUGUUCUUCCGUAUCGGGAAGGCUCUUUUGACCUUCAUGGAGACAGAGUCAUUAGACUGGGAACAAACAUAUACAGCAUCAGCCGGCCUGUAGAGACAGAUGUAUCAGGGGCCACCAAAAACUUGGCAUCUCGUGUUAAGGAGAACACAGCUCCCAACCCUCUUGCUAAAGAAGAGCUGGAUUUAUUAGCCAGGCUGAUGGGUGGCUUGGAGAUCAAGAAGCCCCUAGUCAAAGAGGGUGGUUUUCAUCUGAAUCUUUUCACCACUGAUGAGGAGGAAGAGUAUGAUACUUGGCUUUAAAUGACACGCUGCCCUGACUCAUCCAGAGGAGUUAUCCUAUCAAGUUCUCAAUAUCCAUGCAGACCAGGACCAGCAACGGAACGAG